CACGAACGCUGGCGGCAGGCUUAACACAUGCAAGUCGAGCGCCCCGCAAGGGGAGCGGCAGACGGGUGAGUAACGCGUGGGAAUCUACCCAUCUCUACGGAAUAACGCAUGGAAACGUUUGCUAAUACCGUAUACGUCCUUCGGGAGAAAGAUUUAUCGGAGAUGGAUGAGCCCGCGUUGGAUUAGCUAGUGGGGGGGGUAAGGGACUACCAAGGCGACGAUCCAUAGCUGGUCUGAGAGGAUGAUCUGCCACACUGGGACUGAGACACGGCCCAGACUCCUACGGGAGGCAGCAGUGGGGAAUAUUGGACAAUGGGCGCAAGCCUGAUCCAGCCAUGCCGCGUGAGUGAUGAAGGCCCUAGGGUUGUAAAGCUCUUUCACCGGUGAAGAUAAUGACGGUAACCGGAGAAGAAGCCCCGGCUAACUUCGUGCCAGCCGCCGCGGUAAGAC
rnacentral:rRNA from 1 species